AUGCCCCUUUGCCCGACAGGUGUGGCACGCGAUCCUCUCAUGGUUGCGCCUCUCCUGCCCGCCGCCCAACAACGACACCACACUUCACGAUUGGUGGCGAAUGGCAAGACAGAACACGCCCAAGCCUAUGCACAAGGGUCUUGCCUCCGCUACCCUGCUCGUGCCAUGGAUGAUUUGGAAGCAUCGCAAUGGCUGCGUCUUCGAGGGUGCUCGCCCUUCGACCACCUCUCUGAUCGCUGCGAUCAAAGACGAGGCUGCACUUUGGGCCAGAGCAGGGGCCCUAGGGCUAUGCGCCAUUCUACCACAAACCUGGGAUGUUCACUAAUGUGCCUGUACUUGCCUUGUAACCAGACUCCUAGGAGGAUUGUACCAAAUUCCUUCUUUUCAAUACAAUGA
rnacentral:rRNA from 1 species